GCAAGUCGAGCGCAUUGGCCCAACUGAUAUGACGUGCUUGCACUGAAUUGACGUUGGAUUACCAGUGAGCGGCGGACGGGUGAGUAACACGUGGGCAACCUGCCCUGAAGCGGGGGAUAACAUCUGGAAACAGGUGCUAAUACCGCAUAACAACGAAAACCACAUGGUUUUCGUUUCAAAGAUGGUUUCGGCUAUCACUUCAGGAUGGGCCCGCGGUGCAUUAGCUAGUUGGUAAGGUAACGGCUUACCAAGGCAAUGAUGCAUAGCCGAGUUGAGAGACUGAUCGGCCACAAUGGAACUGAGACACGGUCCAUACUCCUACGGGAGGCAGCAGUAGGGAAUCUUCCACAAUGGGCGCAAGCCUGAUGGAGCAACACCGCGUGAGUGAAGAAGGGUUUCGGCUCGUAAAGCUCUGUUGUUGGAGAAGAACGUGCGUGAGAGUAACUGUUCACGCAGUGACGGUAUCCAACCAGAAAGUCACGGCUAACUACGUGCCAGCAGCCGCGGUAAUACGUAGGUGGCAAGCGUUAUCCGGAUUUAUUGGGCGUAAAGCGAGCGCAGGCGGUUGCUUAGGUCUGAUGUGAAAGCCUUCGGCUUAACCGAAGAAGGGCAUCGGAAACCGGGCGACUUGAGUGCAGAAGAGGACAG
rnacentral:rRNA from 2 species